CUCAUUUUCAAAUGGGACAUCCGAUAAAAUUGGAACGAUACAGAGAAGAUUAGCAUGGUCCCUGCGCAAGGAUGACACGCAUAACUUGAAACCAUUACACAUGCAU